UACAGCGCGCCUACGCGGCAGCCCCUCACCGUGGCAAGGAUUGCUCCUGUCCUCUCUUCGUCCUUCGAUCUGUCGAUGCGUUGUUGUGGUCGACAUUAGGACAAGAGAGACAGAGACGUGCCU
rnacentral:misc_RNA from 1 species